AUUCAGGAACAAGAAGAAUGAAGAUAACAAUUGUAUUAGGAUUUGUUCUCCUGGUUUUGGCAUCAGAUUUGGUAAUGGGACGGCCAGCGGAAAGACAAAAGUGAUUCCGUGGACGUUGAUGGUGACUUUGAUGAAGAAGUGGCACGCCUAACCAGAGAAGGCCGCAUUAUCCAUUUUCCUGGUGUUCGAUAUGACUUUGAAUCAGGCAGGCGACUGCAAUGGUGAAGCUGCACAGAAUGCCAGAGAUGCAAUCAACAACCUAUAAAAGUUUACAAUAUCAAUCCAAAGACAACUUUCCUGUAUUUUUAAUAUGACAUCAGUUUAAUUAAAUAUAAUGCAAUCAGAUUG